rnacentral:rRNA from 1 species
GAUGAACGCUGGCGGCGUGCUUAACACAUGCAAGUCGAACGGUGAACGAGGGAGCUUGCUCCCUCCGGAUCAGUGGCGAACGGGUGAGUAACACGUGAGCAAUCUGCCCUGGACUCUGGGAUAAGCGUUGGAAACGACGUCUAAUACCGGAUACGAGGCGUGGGGGCAUCCCCAACGCCUGGAAAGAACUUCGGUCCAGGAUGAGCUCGCGGCCUAUCAGCUUGUUGGUGGGGUAGUGGCCUACCAAGGCGACGACGGGUAGCCGGCCUGAGAGGGUGACCGGCCACACUGGGACUGAGACACGGCCCAGACUCCUACGGGAGGCAGCAGUGGGGAAUAUUGCGCAAUGGGCGGAAGCCUGACGCAGCGACGCCGCGUGGGGGAUGACGGCCUUCGGGUUGUAAACCUCUUUCAGCAGGGACGAAGCGCAAGUGACGGUACCUGCAGAAGAAGCGCCGGCCAACUACGUGCCAGCAGCCGCCGUAAGAC